rnacentral:rRNA from 1 species
UGGGGAAUAUUGCACAAUGGGCGAAAGCCUGAUGCAGCAACGCCGCGUGAAGGAAGAAGGUCUUCGGAUCGUAAACUUCUGUCCUUGGGGAAGAAGAACUGACGGUACCCAAGGAGGAAGCCCCGGCUAACUACGUGCCAGCAGCCGCGGUAAUACGUAGGGUGCAAGCGUUAAUCGGAAUUACUGGGCGUAAAGCGUGCGCAGGCGGCUUGAUAAGACAGGUGUGAAAUCCCCGAGCUCAACUUGGGAAUAGCACUUGUGACUGUCAGGCUAGAGUAUGUCAGAGGGAGGUGGAAUUCCAAGUGUAGCAGUGAAAUGCGUAGAUAUUUGGAAGAACACCGAUGGCGAAGGCAGCCUCCUGGGAUAAUACUGACGCUCAUGCACGAAAGCGUGGGGAGCAAACAGGAUUAGAUACC